GGAUGUGAGGGCGAUCUGGCUGCUACAUCUGUCAUCCCAUUGAUCGCCAGGGUUGGUUCUGCGGAUCUGCCUGGCUAGGUGGGUGUCCCCUUCCUCCCUCACCGCUCCAUGUGCGUCCCUCCUGAAGCUGCGCGCUCAGUCGAAGAGGACAGCCUUCCCCAAAUAGAGACGGACCGGUCUUCGGUCGAGGGUAUACGAGUAGCUGCGCUCCCCUGCUAGAACCUCCAAACAAGCUGUCAAGAACUGGGGCCCUGACUCUGCCACAAUGACCCUUUGU
ensembl:misc_RNA 7SK 7SK RNA